GAUGAACGCUAGCUACAGGCUUAACACAUGCAAGUCGAGGGGCAUCAUUUAUUUAGCAAUAAAUAAGAUGGCGACCGGCGCACGGGUGAGUAACACGUAUCCAACCUACCUAAUACUCGGGGAUAGCCUUUUGAAAGGAAGAUUAAUACCCGAUAGUAUAUCUAAUUCGCAUGUUUUAGAUAUUAAAGAUUAAUUGGUUUUAGAUGGGGAUGCGUUCCAUUAGCUUGUUGGUAAGGUAACGGCUUACCAAGGCCUCGAUGGAUAGGGGUUCUGAGAGGAAGGUCCCCCACACUGGUACUGAGACACGGACCAGACUCCUACGGGAGGCAGCAGUGAGGAAUAUUGGUCAAUGGGCGAGAGCCUGAACCAGCCAAGUAGCGUGAGGGAUGACUGCCCUAUGGGUUGUAAACCUCUUUUAUAUGGGAAUAACAGACAUUACGUGUAAUGUUUUGCAUGUACCAUUAUGAAUAAGCAUCGGCUAACUCCGUGCCAGCCGCCGCAGUAAAAC
rnacentral:rRNA from 1 species